rnacentral:lncRNA from 1 species
GAGGUCUGUGUCAUUUCCCCUACAUUUCCUCUCUCUCUCUCUCUCUCUCUCUCUCUCUCUCUCGUUCGUAACAAGGUUCCAGAGAUCAUGCCAUCUAUCAAUGGCUUCUUCAGCGAUCCAAAGUGAUGGCUGAAUUUAAACCUGAAAUUGAUUGAGACUGUUAUUGUUUGUGUUUGACAUUUGAAUGAGAUAGACUGGAAUGGCAGUUUUCUGCACUAGCUUGGAUUCAAAAUGGAUUCAGAUAUAAAAGAAAAUCUCAAAUUAAAUGUCGUUAACAAUCGCAAUUGCCCGUCUCUGAUGGUACACCUUUGCAUUUUAAUUUAUAUCUGCUGCAUUUUGUUUUUCAAAAUGUUAUUCAGUAUUCAAUUAACGAAUCACCAUUUAAGUUGAUCGGAGUGCAAGUAACUACUUUGUUUGCCUAGGUUUUACUGAUGACUCUCUACUGCCUUUAGACAUUUCACUAUUUGACCACCCAGUUGUGCCACUUCUGGAGUAGUUGCUACUCUUGGAAUGACCAUUAUUUCUUAAUGCAUGUGUCCACCUAUCCUAACUCUUAGAUAAGCCCUAAGAGGCACCCCAUUUGCAUGGAGAAAUAUCAGGUGCUGCUUAUUAGUUACUAGUAUCAUAUUAUCACGAGAUUGUAAAUUUCACUACCUUGAUGCUUCCUGAAUGAUCACAGGUAAAGUCUUUGUUCUGAUGUUAUAUUCCCUUCGCAGGGAGGUAACAAGCUAAAGAUAUAAUGAUGAACCUAGGGUUUCGAAUAAAUUAUUUAUAUAAUUAUUGUUUUGUGGUGUUUUAUAUAUAUAGGUGUAUCCACUAUUUGCAGCGGUGGGACUAGCUGUUGGAAUUUGUGGGUUUCAAUUGGUUCGCAACAUCUGCAUCAACCCUGAAGUCAGGUACCCCACCCCCUCCCUUUAUGCCGCUGUGUGUGUGUUACUAUGAAUUGCCUGGUUGUUAAAAUAUUUUGAAAAUUUUAUCUUGUACAUUUUUUAGACAUAUUUGGACUUUCUAGGAAGCUAGCUUCUUAAAGGAAAAGGCAUGCAUGAAGCUUGAUCCAACAUAUAUAAGUAUAAAUAUGUACUCCCAUACUAAGCCAAAUAAUAAUACUUAAAUAUGUAUAUGUAUUAAUAGGUGCCUCACAUUUGAUGCGUCUCUAUCAGAACAAUGUAUCUCCUUAAUUUGAUACCAGUAGUAUUGCUCCAGAUUUUGGUUCAAUUAGUUGAAAAUGAACCUUUUUGGUUCAUAUUGUUAAUGAAUGGAGUAAUUGAAUGCUAUGCUUUUAUACAUAAUUUCUUCUAUUGACACUGUUUCAGAUGCAUAAAUUAUUCCAUUUGUGAAAACUAAGGCAACAUUUUUAAUGUACUGGAAAUAUGAAAGGAAGACUGAAACUGUAAGGAGGAGGAAUAGAUUGCAGAAGUUUGAGGAAAUUUUCUUCUAGAAAUAGUGAAAUCUUGCGGGGCAGGGUGGUCGUAAAAGAAUCUGGGGCUGGGGUGCGUCCUAGUAUUAAGAGCAUUUUGCAGAGGCAUUGGGCUGUUACAGGGUAGGUAGUUUAUCCCUGCCCCUUUGCCAUCCAUAACAACAACAACAACUACCCAGUAUAGUCCCACAAAGUGGGGUCUGGGGAGGGCCUUACCCCUUACCCUUUGCCAUCCAUAGUCAGGAGAUAUUUUUCUGUGACAUUAUGCUUUCUUGCUGUUAAAAUUUAUCGACUCACAAAAUCAGUUAUUUGCAUGACUUAAAAGGACGAGGACUUCAGAAUUCUUUGAAAGGAAUUUUUAUUCAGAAGAAAUGCUCUCAGCAUAAGUUACUUCUACAUCUUGGUUUUUGUUGCCUCAUCACUGAAGUUUCAUGGCUACAUACAAUUUCAACUGCAAGUUUUGUGCAAUGUCUAGAAUGAACUUCUGGGGCUUGUAAUAGGCUGGUUGGAGUUAGCUCCAUUGUUUGAUACCUUUCAAUGUUAGAUGUUUCCUUUUGAACUGACAUACAAAGGGAAGAAGGAAAACUGUGUUAAAUUGGACUUCCAACUUCUGUAAGCUGCAGCUAAUUGGUAGCUUUAAUGGAGUCUACCUUCAGUUCUGAUUGUAUGUUGAGAUUUUUGCUUAUAUGGUUGUUCAUUGUUGUAUUGAAAAAGGAGAAUGAAACUGACAAUAGGACAUUCAACUUCUCUAAGCUGCAGCUUAUGGCUGCUUUUAAUGGAUGUUAUUUACUCGUUUUUUCCUAAAUUUUUCUGAAGUCGUAAAGAAAUGAGAUGUGGAGGUAUUAGAAAGUAGAGAAUUGCAAUAUAUCUUAUAGUUUCACUGGUGUCUUUGUGUUUAUGCAAAACAUAGGGUGACCAAGGAGAACAGGGCAGCAGGAGUGCUGGAUAACUUUACGGAAGGGGAGAAAUAUGCAGAGCAUGCUCUUAGGAAGUUUGUUCGUAACAAGGCUCCAGAGAUCAUGCCAUCUAUCAAUGGCUUCUUCAGCGAUCCUAAGUGAUGGCUGAAUUUAAACCUGAAAUUGAUUGAGACUGUUAUUGUUUGUUUUUGACAUUUGAAUGAGAUCGACUGGAAUGGCAGUUUUCUGCACUAGCUUGGAUUCAAAAUGGAUUCAGAUAUAAAAGAAAAUCUCAAAAUAAAUGUCGUUAAUGAUCAUAAUUGCCCGACUCUGAUGGCCACACCUUUGCAUUUUCAUUUAUAUCUGCUGCAUUUUAUUUUUCAAAAUUUUAUUCAGUAUUCAAUUAAUGAAUCACCAUUUACGUUGAUCGGGGUGCAAGUAACUACUUUGUUUGCCUAGGUUUUACUGAUGGCUCUGUACUGCCUUUAGACAUUUCACUAUUUGGUCACCCAGUUGGGCCACUUCUGGAGUAGUUGCUAGUCUUGGAAUGAUCUUUAUUUCUUAAUGCAUGUGUCCACCUGUCAGAUAAGCCCUAAAAGUGGC